CAUUUCAAACUUUCCAGGGAGAAUUAUUGUGUCAAAAGAUGAGUCUAAUGCACACUGGCAGCAAAAUGAUUACAAAGGCUUUGCACCCAAUGUGGAUUGGGAUACAGUUGACUUCAAGAAAUCUCCUGCAAUCCAAGAAUUACCAGUUAUCUCAGCUAUUUGUGAACCCUUAGAAGGAGAGACAGUAAAGGUGAAGAAUGGCAAAAUAAAAAUUAGAGGUUAUGCAUGGAGUGGUGGCGGCAGGAAGAUUGUUAGGGUUGAUGUCUCUAGUGACGAAGGCAAAAACUGGCAGGCAGCUGAUGCGCUGGAGUCAGAUAAAGCACGCCAUCCUCGAGCAUGGGGCUGGACCAUCUGGACAGCAGAAGUACCGGUACCUAAGGGUAAGUCUAAGGUGCAGCUGUGUGUCAAGGCUGUAGAUUCCCAGUACAACACUCAGCCAGAAAACUUUGAAAACAUAUGGAAUCUUCGUGGGGUGCUGAGUAAUGCUUAUCACAGAGUUAAUAUUAAUUUGGCUAAGUAAUUUUGUGCCAUAAAUGUUUAGAUGGCAUACUUAAGUCAUUGUUCAAAAUGAAAUGAAAUAGAUGAAUAUGAAAAGUAUUUUUAGUGGACUAUCCAAAAAGUUACAAAAAUAAUAUAUUUGUUAUUUUCUUAAUGUAUCAAAAAUGAUAGUCCUGACACUUAUGUACAGUGCCCUUGCAUCCAGCGUGUGUUUGUCCAGGGCGUUUCGUGUCCAAUGCAGCAAUUUUGGGAUAUUAUUAUUAUUAUUAUUAUUAUUAUUAUUAUUGUAACACAUUUAAAAUGGUCCAACGUGUAACUAACCGUGGCCCACAAGUGGCCCAAAUCCACAAAUUUCUGUAACACAUGUAGUCUAUGCAUGUAAGAAUUUUUAUUGUAUUUUUAAGGUUUACUCGACUUUCAAUUUCCAACUAAUAUGGGGCAGCACCUGUCUGGGAAUCCAAAAUUGCUACAAUCUGGGGAAACGGCCCAUUCACAGACGUUUACAAUACUCUCUGACAGUCGCCAAUAUUCAGUACUUGCCCUGAACUUUUACCACAUUUUGUCCAGCACAUGCUUCUUUCUAUGAAAAUCAGGCAAUAAAAAAUGAAAUGAAUAAUAAAAGCAAUCGUAACAAGUAGUUGUUCAACUGAUAAUUGUAGACUGAUAAGGAUGUAUGUCUCAAAAAGAAAAAGUUUAUUGAACCAAUAGGUUUGUCCAAUAUUAAUUUUGUCCAACACAAAUUCCUGCAUUGGACACAAGGCCACUCACUGUACUUGUAUAUACAAAAUAAUUUUUAUAUAAUUCCAAGGCGAAUAAUCAGUUAGCUCACUUUCUGUAAAUCCAAGUCCAGGGCAGUAAGAAGGUUAUUGCUGAUGUACAUUUGCACAAUAUAGAUCACAAAACACCUAACUAAGGUGAUGAGCCAGCAGCUCUGCAGUAGUUUACCACCAUUUUUUGAGUAGAAUCACUGAUCCAUGCAUUAAAAUUCAAACAUUAUAUUUAUUACUAUUGAAGAUAUCUUGUCAGGGGUUUCGAUAUUAAUUGCUUACUAGUUAGUGCUUAAUAUCUUUAGUGUAGUAAGGUUUUGGAUAUAUGUAUUUGACUUUCAGUACACACACUAUAUUGCCAUUUACAACCUUUUACAGUACUUUAACUGGCUAACACCUAUGCCUUAGUGAUUAGACCUUUAAAAAGUUUUUAAUUUGAUGGGAAUGUGGGCGUAUGGUCUCCUAGCAAGGGAACACAACUGUUGACGAGAUAAGUUCUCAAGUCUUUCCUCCAGGCCUUGACCUCCCCACUUCACAGGUGAGGGGAUUUAUGACCAUUGUCAUAAGUAACAUGGUGCUAACACACACACACAGUGAGUAUAGUAGGAAAUGGGAUUUUAUGUCAAAGCUGAGUAUUGAAUGAUGCACUAUUGUAAAUCAAUAAAUAAAACUACCUUGUAAUUUUCAAUUGAUUUUGAUUGGUAAAGUAUGCUCAGUAUCCACCUACCAUGAGUCAUUAAGACAAUGUGUAUCUUAAAUAUUACUUCAAUGUUUCGUCUUCUGGAGACUUUUCUUUACGCAAGUGAUGCAAUAAAAAUGCAUAGAAAUUAC